rnacentral:rRNA from 1 species
UACGAAGGGUGCUAGCGUUGUUCGGAAUCAUUGGGCGUAAAGCGUGCGUAGGCGGUUUGACAAGUCAGCUGUGAAAGCCCAGGGCUUAACCCUGGAAUUGCAGUUGAAACUGUCAGGCUAGAGUAUGGAGCGGGAUGGUGGAAUUCUUAGUGUAGGGGUGAAAUCCGUAGAUAUUAAGAGGAACACCGGUGGCGAAAGCGACUAUCUAUGCCAUUACUGACGCUGUUGCACGAAAGCGUGGGGAGCAAACAGG